CUCAAUUUCCUCACUUUCUUUUCUUUGAAUGCUAAAAAUUUGAAUGAGAGAGGUUUGAAUUUCCCUAAACUGAUUGUGACUUUGGACUGCUCAUGUUACUAAGGAAGAGAGAGAGGAAUUUGCCUCCACAAACAAAGUUGAUAACACAUUUGGUAAGUGUCAAGGAAGAAGGGAGGGAUUAUAACAAAAGAGUUUGUUUUUGCCUGAAAAUUAUUCAAUACACAAGGUUGGGAUCAUUUUAUAGAUGUAUAAUGUUUUGGCUACUGCAUGCUAAAGUAAAAGUGAUUCAAAAGUAAUCUAGCAAUGACCA
rnacentral:lncRNA from 1 species